rnacentral:sRNA from 1 species
GUUUUCCGGAGACUGUUAGAGGAAGAGUCGCUUUUUCCUGCCUCCCAGGCUGCCCAGCGGCGCCGGUUGCCGGGGAACGCAGGCGCCGUGGGGAGGGAUGGCGGGAGGAUACUGCUUAGGUGCUGGAGACGGAGUUGAGCUGGUGAAGAAGAGCUCGGGCUCAUCAUGAAACAACGAAAAGGCCAAGGGUCUGGGGGCAGCCGUGGGCGCAAAAAAAGAGGUUUAAGUGACAUUUCUCCAUCUACAAGCCUGCCACCUCUGGUUGAAGGCCAGCUACGCUGCUUUCUAAAACUUACUGUUAAUAGAGUCAUAUGGAAGAUUGCAAAGCCUCCCACUUGUGUACUUGUCCGAGUGAGAUGGUGGGGAGAAACAUCAGAUGGAACCCUCUUUUGUCCCAGGGAUGCAUUGCAGACUGAACCAAAAGCUGUGAGAACAACUACACGUUAUGCUAUUCGUUGUGGUCCAAAACAGUUUACCUCUUAUCUAACAGAUAUGGCUGUGCUGGUGCUGGAAGUAAUCACCAAACUUGACGGUCUUCCAAUUGGUAGAGUUCAGAUCAAUGGACUAGCUCAACUUUCUCCAACCCAUCAAAUCAAUGGAUUUUUUACCAUUGUUUCAUCAACGUCUAAGAAACUUGGAGAACUCCAGGUCUCACUUGCCCUGGAACCUCUGUCAGAAACUUACGACAGCUACCAUCCACUUCCUACCACUGACGUGACAGAAAAUGUGCUUUUAUCUAAGCAGGGAUUCAGAGAGAAUACUGAACCCAGCAGUACCCAGUUUCAGGUUCCAUCAAGGCCUCACGACAUACAUACCAUCAAAAUUGAUGGAAAAGAGUUAGCAGCCAACAGCAGUAGAUCAACCACUCCGAGGGGAAAAGACCAUGUAUACUUUGCAGAGAACCCUGAUACAAUAAAGGAUUCUUCCUUUGGACUACAGCACAGUCUUAAUUCAGGACAGAGUUUAGAGUCUGUAACUCUGAAAGGCAGAGCUCCACGGAAGCAGAUGUCCCUUCUGAACAGUUCUGAAUUCCAGCCUCAAAUUAGAACAGUUGCCAAGAGUCACAGUGACUCAUGCAUUCUUUCUUCAAACAACCUCCCUACCAAGGACCUUCUUUCAGCUCUGUUAGAACAAGGCAAUAAACUGCGUAAUGCCAUGGUGAUUUCUGCAAUGAAAUCAAGCCCAGAGACCAGCAUGUUGUUGGACCAAGUUCAUCUUCCUAUUAAUGAAGAUUCUCUUAGAGCAUCAACACAGAUCAGAGCCUUUUCUAGGAAUCAGUUUAAAGACCACAUUGAAGAUCACCUCCUCCCUUCAACUGAGAAUACAUUUUGGAGACAUGACACAAAAGCUGAUACCAGAGCUAUACAGCUGCUAUUAGGCAGUGCUGAAUUAUCCCAAGGCAAUUUCUGGGAUGGGCUAGGCUCUCCUCCAGAUUCCCCAUCUCCUGGGAGUGAUGUGUAUUGCAUCAGUGAGCUGAAUGACCCUCAGUAUGACCAGAGUCUUCUGGAGAACUUAUUUUAUACAGCACCUAAAUCUGAUACCAGCAUCAGUGAUUUCCUCAGUGAAGAGGAUGAUAUCGUCCCUUCUAAAAAAAUAAGCCAGUCAACAGCUCUUGCCAGAUCAUCUAAGGUUCUGGAGUCAAGUGAUCAUAAGCUGAAGAAGAGGUCAGCAGGCAAGAGAAAUAGAAAUUUGGUUGAACAACAGAUGCUCUCAGAAACUCCAGAAGAUGCCCAAACGAUGACACUAAGUGUGGAUAGACUGGCCCUUUUGGGUAGAACACAUUCAGUCAGAAUCAUCAUCGAAACCAUGGGAGUUCCUCCAGAUAGUCCUCAGAUGACCCCUGGCAAAAAAAGCUAUGCUGGUCCACCACCUAAGGUGACUACAGCAAAAAAGCGCACUUUCUUUGUAGAAUAUCACUUUCCUGUGGGCUUUUCGGAAAGCGGAUUGGGAAAGACAGCUUUGAUCACUGAGGUUGUUCGACUCGCCUCCAGUAAAAUUACAGAUGGAAGUAAGAGACACACUGGUUUUCUGCACCUUAGACAUUCUGACUUUGGAAGAAUUUUUGAAUUCCUAAUUACUCAUUUGACUUUUUUUUUUUUUUUUUUUUUUGACAUGGAGUCUCACUCUUUCGCCCAGGCUGGAGUGGGGUGGCGCAAUCUCUGCUCACUGCAGCCUCCACCUCCCGGGUUCAAGCGAUUCUCCCAUCUCAGCCUCCUGAGUAGCUGGGAUUACAGGCGUAUGCCACACACCCAGCUAAUUUUUGUAUUUUUUAGUAGAGACAGGGUUUCACCAUGUUGGCCAGGGUGGUCUCGAACCCCUGACCUUAAGUGAUCCGCCUGCCUCGGCCUCCCAAAGUGCUGGGAUUACAGGCAUAAGCCAUCAUGCCCAGCCAAUAUUUUCAAGGCUGUGCAACCAUCACCACAAUCUAAUUUUAGAACAUUUUCAUCCCCCCUAAAAGAAACCCCAUACUUACUAGCAUUCGCUUCGCAUUUCCCUCUUCCCCCAGCCCUAAGCAACUGCUAAUCUUUCUUUCCCUAUCAAUUUGUCCAUUCUGGAUGUCUCAUAUAAGUGGAAUCAUGCAACUUGU